GGAACGUGGGCACCCACAGGCCUCACAGGCCCACGUUGCCCACCCCGGCCCCCUUGUUACGCUUUACAUCCUGAGGCAGCACUAAAACCUAUAUUUUCAAACAAUACCACAGGCAAAGAAAGACUCAGCAAAUGCCGAUUAAAGAGCUGAUCCAGGGAAGACAGCCAUCACUUCAACAACGAUGCCCUCCAUGGAGGGCUGAUUCUAGGGAAGACUGAGCGAUCACUCCAAGAGUGAUGCCAUCUAUGGAGGGCUGAUUCUAGGGAAGACUGAGCGAUCACUCCAAGAGCGAUGCCAUUCAUGGAGGGCUGAUCCAGGGAAGACUGAGCAAGCAAUCACUCCAAGAGCGAUGCCAUCCAUGGAGGGCUGAUUCUAGGGAAGACUGAGCGAUCACUCCAAGAGCGAUACCAUCCAUGGAGGGUUGAUUCUAGGGAAGACUGAGCGAUCACUCCAAGAGCGAUGCCAUCCAUGGAGGGCUGAUUCUAGGGAAGACUGAGCGAUCACUCCAAGAGCGAUGCCAUCCAUGGAGGGCUGAUUCUAGGGAAGACUGAGCGAUCACUCCAAGAGCGAUGCCAUCCAUGGAGGGCUGAUUCUAGGGAAGACUGAGCGAUCACUCCAAGAGCGAUGCCAUUCAUGGAGGGCUGAUCCAGGAAAGACUGAACGAUCACUCCAAGAGUGAUGCUGUCCAUGGAGGCAAUGAGACAGGAUGGAACUAAAGCACAGUGAGUAAUAGCACAGGAGGCUGGACAAGGUGUCCAUGGAUUGACAGCAUUCUGUGGUAUUUGCAUUGCAUGAAAGAAGAAAAAAAUUGUUAUAAAUUUAAACUUUC
rnacentral:lncRNA from 10 species